GCGCCUCGCUAGGGGUGCUCCGGCGCAAGCCGCCGGGGCUGAGAUCACACCCUGUGAACCUGUUGAGUUAAUCCUCGCGCAGGGAAGCUGUCUUGCCGCGCC
rnacentral:ncRNA from 1 species